rnacentral:rRNA from 1 species
AUGCUCAGUUUGUUGCAGCUCUUGGGUUUCCUGACACUGGUUUCAAAAUUCAUAAUAUCUGACCCAGAUCAUGCUUCCAAAAACAUUAAGGCCUAUGGCUAUUUUCUCAAACCUAUUUCUGAGCAUGACGAAGUGGAAAAGGGAAAAUAUCUCAAUCAAGUAUCUAUUUGGCGAUCUCCCUUUUUCAUUAUCUAUCAGUGUGUCAUCCGCACCAUCUAUUCCAAGAUGGGUGACAAAGGUUCCUGUAACGGGUAUUGUAUUGAUCUCAUGUAUCGGCUCUAUGAACAUCCCAACAGAAAGAUCAAUGUUCCUCACUUCCUGUGGCAUGAGAUUCGUCUUGCUAGUCUUCAAUACAAGCGGGCCUUUCCUCAUGCUCCUUUUCUUCAAGCCUUAAUUGAGAGUAUUGCUCCUUUUCCCAUUGCUCGGACUCAUGUUCAUCUGUGGUGGGUCAUUCCACCUCAUAUGGCGGAUGAUUGGGCUCCCAAGAAAUCCUCAACUGCUCGGUGGUCUGCUGCUCAGUCUCGCCCUACUCCCCUACCUCGGGGUCUUUCGGCCGCAUUGCUCACUUUCUCAGGAAGGCCCAUUCAGCCAUGA